UAGCAGUGGUAGCUCAUGCGCUAAAAUUGGAAGGAUGCAGAGAUUAGCAUGUCCCCUGGGCAAAAAUGACACUAAAAUUUGUCUUAAAAUUUUA
rnacentral:snRNA from 1 species